rnacentral:RNase_P_RNA from 1 species
UGCUGGCCGGUAAGGGUGAAAUGGUGCGGUAAGAGCGCACCGCGCGACUGGUAACAGUUCGUGGCGAUGGAAAACCCCACCUGGAGCAAGACCAAAUAGGUAUCCAAAGGCGUGACCCGCGCUGGAUACGGGUAGGUUGCUAGAGGCGUAUGGUGACAUGCGUCCCAGAGGAAUGACUGUCCACGACAGAACCCGGCUUAUCGGUUGACUUUACAU